rnacentral:rRNA from 1 species
GACGAACGCUGGCGGCGUGCUUAACACAUGCAAGUCGAACGGAAAGGCCCUGCUUUUGUGGGGUGCUCGAGUGGCGAACGGGUGAGUAACACGUGAGUAACCUGCCCUUGACUUUGGGAUAACUUCAGGAAACUGGGGCUAAUACCGGAUAGGAGCUCCUGCUGCAUGGUGGGGGUUGGAAAGUUUCGGCGGUUGGGGAUGGACUCGCGGCUUAUCAGCUUGUUGGUGGGGUAGUGGCUUACCAAGGCUUUGACGGGUAGCCGGCCUGAGAGGGUGACCGGCCACAUUGGGACUGAGAUACGGCCCAGACUCCUACGGGAGGCAGUAGUGGGGAAUAUUGCACAAUGGGCGGAAGCCUGAUGCAGCAACGCCGCGUGCGGGAUGACGGCCUUCGGGUUGUAAACCGCUUUCGCCUGUGACGAAGCGUGAGUGACGGUAAUGGGUAAAGAAGCACCGGCUAACUACG